CAUAGCACGUGUAUCACGGCUAGGAUACUGGCUUCGGUACAACCCAGGGCUUAUUCGGAUUUCAGCACUUUCAGCAUCAGAGUUACUUUAAUAAAGUGGUCAGAGUGGGAAGCAAUCUUCUGAACGGCCCUUUGGAGCCCAUGAACCCUGAGCACUUCAACGCGAAUUGAAACAGCAGCUUCGAAGAAGGGAUGAAGUCACAGAUGCAGAGGGAACCAUUUGUGUUCUUCUGGCCCCAAGGAAAUGCUGUCUUCCCAAGGGAACGCAUUGAAUCCAUGCUCCUUUAGCACAGAAUGGAAAGGUCUCUGGGAAAUGAAAUCUCUACCCACAGUGACCUGGUGAGACUGCCUGCACAGGUUGUUUGGAAGCUUCUAGAACCCCUUGGGGCCACCGAAGGCCUGCCUCAGCCAAAAUGCCUCUCUGUGCCCAUUGUCUGUCUCCUAGCAGCUGAGGAUAAGUGAUAAGCGUGGGAGAUAAAGCAGGGUCUGCAUCUGAAUCACUCUUGCCCAUCAGGAGCUCUGGGGCUGUGAACCUGCCCGAAUCGCUGGCAGACAACCAGGCCAUUUUGAUCUGGAAAAACUUCCCCCGGGACAGCCCACACCUGACAGAGGGAACAAUGGCGGGAAAUGGAGGCCCAAGCUUGGUGUUAGGGCCCUGCCACCCACACUCCUCUGCACUGUUAUUCCUGGCCAACACAGACAGACGCUGUGGGAAGAGGUGCAAAUGAGGCUUGGAAAUAAAAAGGAAGUGGAAUGAUGACAGGGAAACGAUAGGAGAUUGUUUUCCCAGCUUUGGAGGUUUCAUUCUAGAAGAUUCUGAGACUAGCCUGCCUGCAUGUACAAUGGUUGCCGUGAUAGUAACUAUGACAGCUCCUUGACCACCAGGGAAAAUGUUGAAGCCGCUUGAGGGUUCAUUUCCUCACCAAAGUGUUUCACUUCUGGGUUUUAGAGACCCUGGAACAGAUGAGAAAUCAGACCUCACAGCCUGGAAGCAUUUCCUCAUGGCUUCUGAAGGCUCCCUCUGUGGCUGUGACUCCGAGUGGCCCUCCUGCCACCACGCUAACCUUCAGCAUCCUAUCAGCGACACAGAGAUCUCCAGGUUUCCCACAGAACCCUGUUACUGUCACAGCAAGCCACUUGUGAAUUGUGAAACAAUGCA